rnacentral:rRNA from 1 species
GACGAACGCUGGCGGCGUGCUUAACACAUGCAAGUCGAACGGAAAGGCCCUGCUUUUGUGGGGUGCUCGAGUGGCGAACGGGUGAGUAACACGUGAGUAACCUGCCCUUGACUUUGGGAUAACUUCAGGAAACUGGGGCUAAUACCGGAUAGGAGCUCCUGCUGCAUGGUGGGGGUUGGAAAGUUUCGGCGGUUGGGGAUGGACUCGCGGCUUAUCAGCUUGUUGGUGGGGUAGUGGCUUACCAAGGCUUUGACGGGUGGCCGGCCUGAGAGGGUGACCGGCCACAUUGGGACUGAGAUACGGCCCAGACUCCUACGGGAGGCAGCAGUGGGGAAUAGUGCACAAUGGGCGGAAGCCUGAUGCAGCAACGCCGCGUGCGGGAUGACGGCCUUCGGGUUGUAAACCGCUUUCGCCUGUGACGAAGCGUGAGUGACGGUAAUGGGUAAAGAAGCACCGGCUAACUACGUG